GAUGAACGCUGGCGGCGUGCCUAAUACAUGCAAGUCGAGCGAAUGGAUUAAGAGCUUGCUCUUAUGAAGUUAGCGGCGGACGGGUGAGUAACACGUGGGUAACCUGCCCAUAAGACUAGGAUAACUCCGGGAAACCGGGGCUAAUACCGGAUAACAUUUUGAACCGCAUGGUUCGAAAUUGAAAGGCGGCUUCGGCUGUCACUGAGGGAUGGACCCGCGUCGCAUUAGCUAGUUGGUGAGGUAACGGCUCACCAAGGCAACGAUGCGUAGCCGACCUGAGAGGGUGAUCGGCCACACUGGGACUGAGACACGGCCCAGACUCCUACGGGAGGCAGCAGUGGGGAAUCUUCCGCAAUGGACGAAAGUCUGACGGAGCAACGCCGCGUGAGUGAUGAAGGCUUUCGGGUCGUAAAACUCUGUUGUUAGGGAAGAACAAGUGCUAGUUGAAUAAGCUGGCACCUUGACGGUACCUAACCAGAAAGCCACGGCUAACUACGUGCCAGCAGCCGCGGUAA
rnacentral:rRNA from 1 species